CGAAAUCGGUAGACGCUACGGACUUAAUUGGAUUGAGCCUUGGUAUGGAAACCUACUAAGUGAGAACUUUCAAAUUCAGAGAAACCCUGGAAUUAACAAUGGAAGAACUGAUUAAUCGGACGAGAAUAAAGAUAGAGUCCCAUUCUACAUG
rnacentral:tRNA from 1 species